UUCACAGCAGACCAAACACUUGUCCUCUUAUUUCUCUCAAGCCUCCAACCUUUCAUUUACCAAAUCAGUCCAAGACUCCAAAGGGAGAAUGCCUUGCCUUGCUAGCCUCCAACCUUUCAUUUACCAAAUCAGUCCAAGACUCCAAAGGGAGAAUGCCUUGCCUUGCCACAAACCAACAUAACAGCAAAUAGAAACACCAUUUUCCUGUCAUUAGAAAACCAACUAGCAGCAUUCACAUACAGAAUUUCACUCUCUCUCAAAAUCAUCUUACUUGCAUUUUUCCAAAAAAAAAACUUCAAAAACCCUCGAAGAACUUGACCUGGUUAACAUUGUUCCUUCA
rnacentral:lncRNA from 1 species